GGCGAACGCUGGCGGCGUGCUUAACACAUGCAAGUCGAACGGAAAGGCCCUGCUUUUGUGGGGUGCUCGAGUGGCGAACGGGUGAGUAACACGUGAGUAACCUGCCCUUGACUUUGGGAUAACUUCAGGAAACUGGGGCUAAUACCGGAUAGGAGCUCCUGCUGCAUGGUGGGGGUUGGAAAGUUUCGGCGGUUGGGGAUGGACUCGCGGCUUACCAGCUUGUUGGUGGGGUAGUGGCUUACCAAGGCUUUGACGGGUAGCCGGCCUGAGAGGGUGACCGGCCACAUUGGGACUGAGAUACGGCCCAGACUCCUACGGGAGGCAGCAGUGGGGAAUAUUGCACAAUGGGCGGAAGCCUGAUGCAGCAACGCCGCGUGCGGGAUGACGGCCUUCGGGUUGUAAACCGCUUUCGCCUGUGACGAAGCGUGAGUGACGGUAAUGGGUAAAGAAGCACCGGCUAACUACGUG
rnacentral:rRNA from 1 species